GGAGCCCGCUCCCGCUGUUACCGUAAGUCUCAGAGGAGCGGGGCAUAACGAGAAGGGUAGCUAAGAGCAGGAAGGCCCGGAGGGCGCCGCGACGUGGAAGGACUGUGCGUUCCCGGCUGGCCGGGAGUGAGUACGGGUGCGCAGGCGCCUGCCGCAGUGUUUCGGAGGGUGAGGGUACCGGCUAUCAAGGGCUCAUUGUCGUGGAGGGAGAGCAGAAGGAAUGUCGGCCCAGAGGACAGAGUGUCACCGGCCCAGGACUGGAGUGCUCGCACCGGCUGGGCCCGGACCUGGAAUCUGUCCUUCCGCUCCUCCACUGGGAGUGCCAGCCCUGUUGCCUGGAGCUCGUAUACGGACCUCCUGGACCUAUAGAUGGCAGAGCAACAAGGUGGAAGAAGCCUGGGUCUCUGAUAUCAUGGAGCACCACACCAUAAGGACCAAAGGCCUACAAGAGAAUGAGAAAUGAAGGAGUGUUUGCCAAAUGAAAAAGAGAGAGACAGAGACAGAAACCUAUAAGAAAAUGUAAAUUUCCAAAGUUUUUCUGGGUAGUGAUAAAGGGGUGUGUGUGUGUGCGUGAGAGAGAGAGAUUUUCCACUGAGAAUUAUACAACAUCUUCAUAGAACAUCAGAUUACACUAAACCUUUUUCCAGGCAGGCAGCUGAACCAAAGAAAAAGUUGCUAGAGCACAAACAGCAACAUAGUUAUUUUUAGGCGUACAAUAUGCCACUUUUAAAAAAAACCAUUUUACCAGCCCAGUGAUAUCACCUAAGUGAGACAUUGGAGCAAGAUUAUCAAGAGGGCAAAUGAGAAGUUUCUCUGGAGAUAGAAUGAAAAGGAAGAAGCCUUUCUCAGACCGAUUGAGAAAAACAGUCAACUCUCCUAUUCCUAUUUCUGUUCUCAAUUUGCUGUGAGACUUUAAGUGAGCUAUUAAACAUCUUGGACCUUAGUAAAAUGGGGUGGUAAUUUCAUAUACAGUGGGUAUUGGUAAGCUUUCUUGAUUUCAGAUCCAAAUUGAGCCUCUCUCACAAAAAAGUGUGGCUUUUGUAAGCUGUUCACCUACUGCUGGGGAGCUAAG
rnacentral:lncRNA from 1 species